ACGAACGCUGGCGGCGUGCCUAAUACAUGCAGGUCGAACGGCUUUCUAUGGAAGCUUGCUUCCACUGAGAAGAUAGUGGCGAACGGGUGAGUAACACGUGGGUAACCUGCCCAUAAGAGGGGGAUAACAUCCGGAAACGGGUGCUAAUACCGCAUAGUUUUCUUGAUCGCAUGAUUGAGAAAGGAAAGACGGCCUUUGUGCUGUCGCUUAUGGAUGGACCCGCGGCGUAUUAGUUAGUUGGUGAGGUAACGGCUCACCAAGACGAUGAUACGUAGCCGACCUGAGAGGGUGAUCGGCCACAUUGGGACUGAGACACGGCCCAAACUCCUACGGGAGGCAGCAGUAGGGAAUCUUCCGCAAUGGACGAAAGUCUGACGGAGCAACGCCGCGUGAGUGAAGAAAAAGUUUUCGGAUCGUAAAACUCUGUUGUCAGAGAAGAACAAGUUGGAGAGUAACUGCUCCAGCCUUGACGGUAUCUGACCAGAAAGCCACGGCUAACUACGUGCCAGCCGCCGC
rnacentral:rRNA from 1 species